GACGAACGCUGGCGGCGUGCCUAACACAGGCAAGUCGAGCGAGUGAAUCUCCUUCGGGAGUGAAGCUAGCGGCGGACGGGUGAGUAACACGUGGGCAACCUGCCUCAUAGAGGGGAAUAGCCUUCCGAACGGAAGAUUAAUACCGCAUAGGAUUGUAGCUUCGCAUGAAGUAGCAAUUAAAGGAGCAAUCCGCUAUGAGAUGGGCCCGCGGCGCAUUAGCUAGUUGGUGAGGUAACGGCUCACCAAGGCGACGAUGCGUAGCCGACCUGAGAGGGUGAUCGGCCACAUUGGGACUGAGACACGGCCCAGACUCCUACGGGAGGCAGCAGUGGGGAAUAUUGCACAAUGGGGGAAACCCUGAUGCAGCAACGCCGCGUGAGUGAUGACGGCCUUCGGGUUGUAAAGCUCUGUCUUCAGGGACGAUAAUGACGGUACCUGAGGAGGAAGCCACGGCUAACUACGUGCCAGCAGCCGCGGUAACAC
rnacentral:rRNA from 1 species